AACGAAGUAGGCAGUACGUGGUGCUGUACCUUUGCUACUCAGGGGAGUAGGCGGCAGGGUUGAUGGAGAAGACAGUACAAUCCCAAAGGCGACCAAAUCUAUUAGAGAAUUACUCCAAGUUGGGGUGAAAACUUCUUGCAUUCCAGAAGUUCGAUGACAUUGAGAAGGUGAAUCACAGUAGCUAACUCAACGCAAGGAGUGCAAACACUUCAAGUGCUUUAGAAGUG
rnacentral:lncRNA from 1 species